UACGAAGGGGGCUAGCGUUGCUCGGAAUGACUGGGCGUAAAGGGCGCGUAGGCGGAUGGCACAGUCAGAUGUGAAAUUCCCGGGCUUAACCUGGGGACUGCAUUUGAUACGUGUUAUCUAGAGUGAGGAAGAGGGUCGUGGAAUUCCCAGUGUAGAGGUGAAAUUCGUAGAUAUUGGGAAGAACACCGAUGGCGAAGGCAGCAUCCUGGGCCAACACUGACGCUCAUGCGCGAAAGCGUGGGGAGCAAACAGG
rnacentral:rRNA from 1 species